ACGCGCCCCGCAGCCCCCACCGCCUCACGGUCUCCAUCGGCCGCCCCGCCUCGCCUGGGGCUCCCUCCCCGUUCUCCUCCUCGUGUUGUGUCCCUUCCCUCUGCCCCGACACCCGCCGGGGCCCGGCUGGGAAGCGUUUGGGCUGUUGAGGGCGUAUGGAGGCACAAAAUGGCGGCGCGAUAACGCCCGGGCUAGUUCCGCCUUCCUCACCCCGAGAGGGAAGAGGGCGUUGGGGCCUUCACGGGUGGAAUGAGUGGGAGAGGAAGGGUGGGGCGGGGAAGGUGCCAGCUCUUGGACUCGGAGGCCUGGCGGGGGUGGCAGGAGUGUUACUGGGGCAGUGGGGCCUGGCAGGGUGUGUAGGGUUGCUUGGAAUGGUUUGAGUGGGAAGGGACCUCAAAGCCCAUCUGACCCUGGAUACCUCCCACUGGCUCAGGGGCUCCAAGCCCCAUCCAAUCUGGCCUUGAACACCCCGAGGGAUGGAGCAGCCACCACUGCUCUGGGCAACCUGGGUCAGGGCCUCCCCACCCUCACAGGAAACCAUUUCUUCCUAAGAUCUUAUCUAAAUCAUCUCUCUCAGCUUAAAACCGUUCUCCCUCAUCCUGUCCAUGCACUGCCUGGUAAAGAAGCCUUUCUCCCAGCUUUCUUGUAGGCCCCCUUGAAGUACUGGAAGGCUGCUAUGAGGUAUCCUCAGAACCUUUUCCAGGCUGAACGAUACCAGCCCUCAGAUCAUUUUCGUGGCCUCCUCAUUUCACACUGCAACAGCUCCAUGUCCUUCUUGUGCUGAGGGCUCCAGAGCUGGAUGCAGGACUCCAGGUAAGGUCUCACAAAAGCCAAGCAGAGCAGUAGAGUCACCUCCCUUACCCCGCUAGCCACUCUGCUUUGGAUACAGCCCAGGCUGUUGUUGGUCUUUGGGCUGCAGGUGCACAGUGCUGGCUCAUAUACAGCUUUUUGUCCACCAGUACCCCCAAGUCCUUCUCUGCAGAGUUGUUCCAAAUCCUUUCUUCCUCCUGCCUGUAAGCUUGCCCGAACAAGCCCCUUGUACUUGGCCUCAUUGAGUCUCAUGAGGUACACGCGGGCCCUCUUCUCCAGCUUGUCUAAGUCCCUCUGGCUGACAUCCCAGCCUUCUGGUGUGUUAACUGCACCACUCAGCUUGGUGUUAUUUGCAGAUUUGUUUUGGGUGCACUGGCUGAUGCUUGGGGAAUGCAGGGUGACAAUGGCUUCUGCGUGUGAUGGGCACAUGGAACCUUCAUUACAAGUAAGGUUUGGAAGGUUUUGUCUAGCAAACCUUAUUGAAUUAAUGGCUGCUAGUUCAGGUUUUUGGUGGCAUUGCGUGGUGAAAGUACUAUCUCCUUUCUGAGCAACUUCCAUGUUGCAUCAAGUCACGCAGAAACAGAAAUAAUGGUGCCCUUAUCUCUAAGCUCCUGAGGCAUGAGAGCAGCAGCUGGGAUCCCAGUUCUGGCUCUAAGGACGAUGAUUGGCAGCCACUAAACAUCAGGGCCAAGGUCAGCUCUAACAGCCUGCAGACAUCCUGUAGAGAUAUGUGAUCCAAACACACACAAUACUUUAAUGAACACAACAGAGCUUUUGUGCAUAUAAGCAAAUGUAUAUCAAUACUAUAAAAAUUAGAAGGAGAUGUAUUUCGAUUUGAUCAAUGUACAGUGCUACGCAGCUAUGUUGAUUUGCUUCAUGUAUGUUGGCUCAGAGUAAGAAAAGAACACAGGAAAAGAAAUGGUGUUUAACUUGAAAAGGGUGGGACGCAAAAAUGAGGAAGUGUUUUUUCAAAGAGGAAAUCAAAAGGAGUUGCUUGCAGACUAAACAUGCACAGGCGAGACAGAGAAUGAGGUUUUGUUUUAGUCUUUUCAAUUCUUUAAAACGUCAGCAAAGUUAAACAGCACAGGAAUAGACACCACUAAGUUAUGUUCAAACAAAAAAAAUCAAACCAAGCUGUGUUGGGCUAAAGGUAGAAGGCAGGAACAAGAAAAAAAAUGGACAAUUUGCUCAUUUCACAGCCUUUCUGGAAGCCUUGUUCAGACUUGGCAGAAGCAGGAAGCCUCCAGGGUUGGUACAUAUAGGCCAUUACAAGGAGUGUUUUGGAAAAACAGUCUUUAACAAGCAAUAUUAAACCAGUAACUCUUGCUGAAAGAGACUGGGGAGGAUCCCCUAUGAGAAAUUUGCAGAGGGUGGUGUUGAGGAAGCUGAUCGAAUUGAAGUGCUACUAAAACCCCACAUUAAUAACGGGGAAAAAAUGAUUGAGAUAGUAUUCCAGAUUCCUGAGGAGGAACAGCUGUGGCCGUUCAUAAACAAAGAUAGCUUAACUGAGGUGCUAUUUUUGAGGAAGAGAUCACAGAAACAUCUGGUACUCUUCUCUGAAAACCUUGCUCUGUUCUUAGCAACACAGAAAAAAAUAAAGAAAAUAAUCAUGCAGAAAUAAUAAUAAUAAUACUCAACAGAUCAAAAAGAUCUUUUUGCCUUCACUAAAGGGCCCAGAUCUUAUGUGCGUUUCUUGCCAAUUAAGAGAAAAUGGUAAUUGGAAUUGCUUUUAAAGGAGAAAGCAGUAGAUAGACUGCAGCUUUGGUUUACAAAGGAGGUGACUUUAGAAGGUACUAAUGUCCACAAAGGGAUUAAAUAAACUAUUACUCACCAUUUCUAAUAACUCAUGUUUUAUGCCUCUUGUUCUUACCAGGAAAUGUGUUGAAAAUGAAAGGAAAUGUUUUUCAGGUAGUAAAUAAUUAAACUGGGAAACACAUUUUCAUGGGAUCUUAGAAGCCAAGAGUAUAAAUAAAUAGAACUGAAAUGGGAAGAAAUGGCCAUCGAAUGCAGUUAUGUUAUUUUUGUUUCUGAAAAGCCUUUAAGCAGGGACUGCUAAAAGGUGAGAGAUUGUAAAGGGAGAGCGCUGUUACCACACUUCUCCUUCCUUAUGUUGUUUUCAUUUGCAUUGGCCACUGCUUAUGGCAGGUGGCCUGGCAGUGUGGCUGCUUGUAUUUAUGCUUUGAGCUUCCCCUUUUCUUUUGUGUGCUUAAAGCCUCAGGUAGAAUGUCCUGAGUUGGAAGGGACCCACAAGAUUCAUCGAGUCCAGCUCCUGGCCCUGCACAGGACAACCGCAGUGUUCACACUGUAUGUCUGAGGGUGUUGUCGGAAUGCUUCUGCAAUAUUGUCAGGCUUGGUGCCGUGACUGCUUCCCUGAGGAGCCUAUCAGCAGGGCAGAUAAGCAACAUGGUACUUCAGAUACGUUAGAGCACCCAGGCAACGAGGAACAGCCUGAAAGCAUUGCUCCAAGAAAGCAUUCAAGGAGCUGCUGAUACAAAAGUGGUUUUCCAGGCACUGCUCGUUCUCUGAAGAUGAUAACAUCUUGUGUUGAUAUGAUCUAUGCUGAACAGAUGUGUCGUCUUCUGUAAUCACCUCUGUUUGCAGUCUCUCCCUGUCUCAAAUGCAAGGUCAGGCAGAGCUGGAGCCAGCUUCGAAUUACCAAGAGUUUUGACUGUUGUGAAGUUUAUAAUAACAUUAAAAUGAGUCCUUGGAAAGUAAUAGAAUAUGCGUAAGAUUUCUGGGAGAAUUUAGACACAUGCAUGUAAGUGGGAAAUACAUUCUAUCCCAGGUCUUGUCUCAUUGCACAUAAUAGAUGGAGAUUGCUCCCUUGUGUUGCCAAGGCCUGAUAAAGGAUGGUUGCUUUCUAGAACUCGAAAAUGAGUCUUAGAGAGCUUAUUUGCCGGCAUUUUCAGUAUCACUGCCUGCUAUCGUGCCUGUGCCCAGCCUGCUAGCACCAUGACAGUGAGUCCCUCUGACUCUUGCAGAUGCCAGGCCACCUCGUGCCUGAGCUCGCCAUUAAUUCGAUAUCCUUUUGUGGCUACAACACAUGAUUGCAGCCCUGUGGAGAAGGACUUGGGCGUGCU